AGCAGCCGCGGUAAUUCCAGCUCCAAUAGCGUAUAUUAAAGUUGUUGCAGUUAAAAAGCUCGUAGUUGAAUUUCGGGGUUAGUAAGUUGGUCGUGCCACUGGUAUGUACUGGCUUUACUGAUUCCUCCCUCUUAUAGAACCGUAAUGCCAUUAAGUUGGUGUUGCGGGGAAACAGGACUGUUACCUUGAAAAAAUUAGAGUGUUUAAAGCAAGCUAACGCUUGAAUACAUUAGCAUGGAAUAAUGAAAUAGGACGUUCGAUCCUAUUUUGUUGGUUUCUAGGAUUGACGUAAUGAUUAAUAGGGAUAGUUGGGGGCAUUAGUAUUCAAUUGUCAGAGGUGAAAUUCUUGGAUUUAUUGAAGACUAACUACUGCGAAAGCAUUUGCCAAGGAUGUUUUCAUUAAUCAAGAACAAAAGUUAGGGGAUCGAAGACGAUCAGAUACCGUCGUAGUCUUAACCAUAAACUAUGCCGACUAGGGAUCGGAUGAUGUUAAUUUUAUAAUGACUCAUUCGGCGCCUUA
rnacentral:rRNA from 1 species